GAACGCUGGCGGCGUGCUUAACACAUGCAAGUCGAACGAUGAACCACUUCGGUGGGGAUUAGUGGCGAACGGGUGAGUAACACGUGGGCAAUCUGCCCUUCACUCUGGGACAAGCCCUGGAAACGGGGUCUAAUACCGGAUAACACUGCGGAUCGCAUGGUCUGCGGUUAAAAGCUCCGGCGGUGAAGGAUGAGCCCGCGGCCUAUCAGCUUGUUGGUGAGGUAAUGGCUCACCAAGGCGACGACGGGUAGCCGGCCUGAGAGGGCGACCGGCCACACUGGGACUGAGACACGGCCCAGACUCCUACGGGAGGCAGCAGUGGGGAAUAUUGCACAAUGGGCGAAAGCCUGAUGCAGCGACGCCGCGUGAGGGAUGACGGCCUUCGGGUUGUAAACCUCUUUCAGCAGGGAAGAAGCGAAAGUGACGGUACCUGCAGAAGAAGCGCCGGCUAACUACGUGCCAGCAGCCGCGGUAAUACGUAGGGCGCAAGCGUUGUCCGGAAUUAUUGGGCGUAAAGAGCUCGUAGGCGG
rnacentral:rRNA from 1 species